rnacentral:rRNA from 1 species
UGGUAUGCACUGGCUCGCUGACUCCUCCUUCUUGUAGAACCGUAAUGCCAUUAAUUUGGUGUUGCGGGGAAACAGGACUGUUACUUUGAAAAAAUUAGAGUGUUUAAAGCAGGCCAACGCCUGAAUACAUUAGCAUGGAAUAAUGAAAUAGGACGUUCGAACCUAUUUUGUUGGUUUCUAGGAUUGACGUAAUGAUUAAUAGGGAUAGUUGGGGGCAUUAGUAUUCAAUUGUCAGAGGUGAAAUUCUUGGAUUUAUUGAAGACUGACUACUGCGAAAGCAUUUGCCAAGGAUGUUUUCAUUAAUCAAGAACGAAAGUUAGGGGAUCGAAAACGAUCAGAUACCGUCGUAGUCUUAACCAUAAACUAUGCCGACUAGGAAUCGAAUGAUGUUAAAUUUUUUAA